rnacentral:pre_miRNA from 1 species
AAAGUACUCCCUCCGUCCCAAAAUUCUUGUCUUAGAUUUGUCUAGAUACGGAUGUAUCAAGUCACAUUUUAGUAUUAGAUACAUCCAUAUCUAGACAAAUCUAAGACAAGAAAUUUGGGAUAGAG